rnacentral:rRNA from 1 species
AACGAACGCUGGCGGCGCGCUUAACACAUGCAAGUCGAACGAGAAGGCGUAGCAAUACGCUUGUACAGUGGCGAACGGGUGAGGAAUACAUGGGUAACCUACCCUCGAGUGGGGGAUAACCCGCCGAAAGGCGGGCUAAUACCGCGUACGCUUCCGAUCUUGCGGGAUUGGAAGGAAAGCUGUCCCUUGGGGAUGGCGCUCAAGGAUGGGCUCAUGUCCUAUCAGCUUGUUGGUAGGGAACGGCCUACCAAGGCAUCGACGGGUAGCUGGUCUGAGAGGACGAUCAGCCACACUGGCACUGCGACACGGGCCAGACUCCUACGGGAGGCAGCAGUGAGGAAUAUUGCGCAAUGGGCGAAAGCCUGACGCAGCGACGCCGCGUGGGGGAUGAAGGUCUUCGGAUU